UUAAUAAAAUAAGUCUUCCGUCAUUAUCACAGAAUUUAUUAAUGACCUCAAUAUCUGCAUAUUUGUUAAUACCGAUUGCUACCCCCUACUUGCCGAAGUUCCAUUACUGCAGUAAAAAAUAAAAUCCGUAUCCUUUUCAAGACUAGCCUUUGAUUCUUCAUUGAGAUGUGUUUCUUGUAAAAGGGCAAUGGAACACUUAUUACGUUUAACCCAAUCUAUAACUUUUAAUACUUUUUCUUUAUUUUUCAUACCAUUAACAUUAAGUGUGCAUAAAUUAAUAUUUGUCAUUGUACGUGUAGUUUAAAGGGUAAUUUAAUUUCGUUGACUUAUCUGUACGAUCUAUUUUAACAUUAAAAUACAAAUUUUCAAUCGAUAAUAGGUAGAAAAACGUGACCUUAUUUAACCUCGUGUCAAUUAUUAACCCGUGAAGUACGGGCGUACCCAGGUACAAACGGUUUGUUUCAUCACAUGCUACAUUGUGUAUAGGAAAGCAUUCAAUUUGGAUAAAUAAAUCUACUGCUAUCGAUUUAGUUGGAUUAUAUUGCAGUUCACUAAAAACUAAGUGUAAUAAAAAUAGUGUGUGAAUUAAACACUCUAAACAAAUGAAUUGAGUAUGUCGCAAUUGAAAAGUGCACUUAUAUAUGUGGCAGACUAUAGUUGAGUCUGAAUUUAGAAAGAAUUUAAAAACUAAUUUAGAAUUCAUACCUAAAUGUCUUUUUGGAUUACUUUUACGAUUUUGAAACGACUGUUUUCUGAAGAAGAUUACAUUUCUAAAAAGUUCUAGCAAUGAUUUUUUCGACUACGACGAUGGGAACAGUUUCUAUCAUCUAAAACAGAAGAUUGAUAAAACAUUUCCAAAUGCUAAUAUAGAAUGUAAUUCAAUUCGGGAUGUUUAUGAUGUUGGUGGUCCCUUCAGAUCUUAUGAGUGGUUAACUGUUACAAUAGGAAAACGUAAAUAUUGUACUGAAGUGAAUUGGCGGUCGAAUACAUUUUGCGACCAGAUAAUAAAAGAGAUCAGAGACGGCCUUGAGGAAGCAAAAGACAGAGAUGGCUGGUGGUACUGGUUGAAGAACAACCUCUUGUAGCUGCUUACACAAUACGUCAAUAGACAAAUUACAAAAUGUUGCUUUUCCUGACCAUAUACCAAAACGUGUACUGGUGAUACAUGAAUAUCAUAAAUUUUUGCAGGACUUAUGAGUUGAAUACUUAAUUAUAUUUUAUGUGAAUACAACGUUAAUAGUUGCAUUACCACUAAAAGGUGUUUUGUUGUGAUUUUGAAUAGACCUUCUUUUAAUAUAAUUGAUUAACGCUUAAUUUUUCUACAAUUUUUAUUUUAAAAUUACAGUUUUGCCAUGUUUUAAUGAGAGUAUUAGUAUUGUAUUUACCGAUAUUGUCCAUAUAGUUUUGGAAUAAAUGUUGAAACAUA